UACGAAGGGGGCUAGCGUUGCUCGGAAUUACUGGGCGUAAAGCGCACGUAGGCGGUUUCUUAAGUCGGGGGUGAAAUCCUGGAGCUCAACUCCAGAACUGCCUUCGAUACUGAGAGUCUCGAGUCCGAGAGAGGUGAGUGGAACUGCGAGUGUAGAGGUGAAAUUCGUAGAUAUUCGCAAGAACACCAGUGGCGAAGGCGGCUCACUGGCUCGGUACUGACGCUGAGGUGCGAAAGCGUGGGGAGCAAACAGG
rnacentral:rRNA from 1 species